UACGAAGGGGGCUAGCGUUGCUCGGAAUCACUGGGCGUAAAGCGCACGUAGGCGGCUUCUUAAGUCAGGGGUGAAAGCCUGGAGCUCAACUCCAGAACUGCCUUUGAUACUGAGAAGCUUGAGUCCGGGAGAGGUGAGUGGAACUGCGAGUGUAGAGGUGAAAUUCGUAGAUAUUGGGAAGAACACCGGUGGCGAAGGCGGCUCACUGGCUCGUAACUGACGCUCAUGCACGACAGCGUGGGGAUCAAACAGG
rnacentral:rRNA from 1 species